UAUAUAUUUACAAUCAUUAUAUCUUCUUUCUUUGUCUCUUGUAACAGUCUUUAUUUUAAAGUCUAUUUUGUCUGAUAUGAGUUUUGCUACUCCAGCUUUCUUUUGAUUUCCAUUUACAUGGAAUACAUUUUUCCACCCCCUUACUUUCAGUCUGUAUGUGUCCUUAGAUCAGAAGUGGGUCUCUUGUAGACAGCAUAUAUAUGGGUCUUGUGUUUGUAUCUAUUCAGCCAGUUUGUGUCUUUUGGUUGGGGCAUUGAGUCCAUUUACAUUUAAGGUAAUUACUGAGAUGUAUGUUCUUAUGGCCAUCUUGUGAAUUGUUUUGGAUUUUGGAUUUGUUUUUGUAGGUUUUUGUUUUUCCCUUCCUCUUUUGUUCUCUCGUGCUUUGAUGACUAUCUUUAGUACUGUGUCUGGAUUGCUUUUGUGUAUGUGUGUGUUUAUCUAUUGUAGAUUUUUUGUUUGCAGUUGUCAUGACGUUUUGAUAUAGCAGUCUAUAUAUAUUAAGAAGAUUGUUUUAAAUUGCUGGUCUCUUAAUUUCAAAUGCAUUUCCAAUAUCCUGUAUCUGUACUCUCCUCUUCUCACAGUUGCUGGUUUUGAUAGCAUAUUUAUGUGGAUGAGUUCCUACCUUUACUGUAUGUUUGCCUUUUCUGGUGAGCUUUCCCAUUUCAUAAUUUUGUUUCUAGUUGUGGCCUUUUUCUUCCUAGAGAAGUUCCUAGGAACGUGUUGUAAAACUUCCAUUUGUUGUGAAGCUGCUUUGUCGGUGCUGAAUUCUUUUAGCUUUUGCUUGUCUGUAAAGCUUUUGAUUCCGCCAUAGCAUCUGAACAAGAGCCUUUCUGGGUAGAGUAUUCUUGGUUGUAGGUUUUUCCCUUUCAUUACUUUAAAUAUAUCAUGCUACUUCCUUCUUGCCUGCAGAGUUUCUGCUGAAAAAUCAGUUGAUGGCCUUAUGUGGAUUCCCUUGUAUGCCAUUUGGUGCUUUUCCCUUGUUGCUUUUAAUAUUUUCCUUACCUGUAAUUAAUUUUUGUCAAUUUCAUUACUGUGUGAAUCCGUGUGUUCCUCCUUGGGUCAGUCCUGUAUGGGACUCUCUGAGCUCCCUGGACUUGGGUGGCUGUUUCCUUUCCCAUGCUAGGGAAGUUUUCAAUAUUGUCUCUUCAAAUUUUCUCUCAGGCCCUUUCUCUCUCUCUUCUCCUUGUGGGACCCCUAUAAUGCAAAACGUUGGUGAAUUUAAUGUUGUCCCAGAGGUCUCUGAGACUGUCGUCAUUUCUUUUCAUUCAUUCUUCUUUAUUCUGUUCUGCAACAGUGAUUUCCACUGCUCUGUCUUUUCCAUUUGAGUUUCAAGGUGAAUGCAGCCUCAGCAGACAGACAACUCCACUGCAACCUCAUUCAUGAAAGAAUCUGAAUCAGAGGCAUUCAGCUAAGCCAUAUCUGGAUUUCUGACUCACAAAAACUGAACUGGAUUGGAGACAAGAUGUGGACUAGAAGGACCCUGAAGUAACCUCCUCUCAUGAGCACACCAAAGUCACAACGAACUGUUGGAGAGCCACUGAUAAAAAAAAAGACUGGAACCUACCAAAGAAAGAUAUUCUAUAUCCAAAGACCUAAAGAAGAAACCACAGUGAGAUGCAUUCAUCAUUUUGCAUCUAAUUGCUUAACAUGUCUGAGUCCCUUGCUAGACUGUGAGCCCCGAAGAAGAAGGAUCGUGCUUUCUUUGUCUCUGCAUCCUGCAGUCCCUGGAGUACCUUCCCCUGAGUAUACACCCAACGAAUCUUUGUCACAUAAAUUAAAGAUGAAGCAAUCUUGCCUUCCACUUUUUUUCUCUUGAGGUCUUGUUUCCAGGAGACGUUUGAUGAGUAACUCUCGGUCAACCCAGCAACACAAAGGCUGCCUGAAGCAUGAAGUGGUGGUGGUGGUGCUGGAGCAAUUGUGGAGGAGGUGCUGGUGGAGAAGGAGGAGGUGCUGGAGGCAGUGGAGCUGAUGGUGGCGGCGGCGGCAGCAGAGGUGGUAAGAGAGGAAGAAGAAAUGAAUAAACUGAGUUGUUCUACAAUACUGGAGUAACAACCAUAACUAGUUUGAUAAUGAGCAUAUAUUUGCAACAUUAAAAGUGCUUUAUGCAUUAUCAAAGAAGGAGUAAAUUAAGGGCAAUAUAGCUUUAGUUUUAAUUAUAUCACAUUGUCUUCUUAAUCUUGGAAUUUGGUUCAGUUAAAUAUAACUGUUUCAUCUACAAGUUUUUCCCAGUACUUUAAUUUCUUUAUUAGAACAUGGUAAUAUUAUAGGAUCUACAGUGAAUUUGGUGGCCAUGUGGCUUUUUUAGUUUCUUUAUAACUGAACAACCCAGAUGUUUAAACAUGUAAUACUGUUGGUAGAAAUUAAAUACAGAGUAAGCUGGUUAAUGCCCAAACCAGAAAAUUCAGUUAACUAGACUAAUUCCCCAACAUUUCUGAAAUAAUCAGUUUACUCACAUGUUAUGGGCGCUCUCUACGGCAUAUUGAGUUGAGCUAAACUGACUCUUCAUUUCCAUUUGUAUUAGUUUCCUAGGGCUGCUGCAACAUAGUACCACAAAUUGGGUGGCUUCAAACAACAGACAUUUAUUCUCUCACAAUUCUGGAGUCUAGAAUUCCAAAAUCAAGAUGUCAGCAGGGUCAUCCUCCUUCUGAGGGCUCUAGGAAACAGUCCUUCCUUGCCUCUUCUAGCCUCUGGUGGUUGCCAGCAACCCUCCACAUUCCUGGGCUUAUAGACCCAUCACUCUAGUCUCUGCCUCUUGUCUCAUGCAGUGUGUCUCUUGUCUGUGUCUCCUCUUCUUGUAAGGACACCAGCCAUACUGGAUUAAGU